UGGAUCUCAGAUCAUCAAGUGGCACCGUCUGUGGGAACGAAGGAGAUCUUUUCAUCACCGGAGUUCCACUCUUACAAUACCCACUGAGAUCCACGAUGGCUAACCACAACGAAAACAAUCUUGUCAAUACCCCUAAUGACCUGAGCUCCGCUCAGGAGGGACAACAGUUCUCUUUUUCCAGUCCCACAACACCAAACAACCAAACACCAAUCCCCUUCAACCCCCCGCCAAGCUUGGCAGAGAACGUGCUUGGAGCUGCUCUAUCCAACCAGGACCUUCCAACCAUGGCCCUCCAACUACAAAAUACCGCCCACUGGUUGGGGCAGGUAAUGCAACAAAGAGGCCUUAACACCUCGGUAAAUGUGUUGCC
rnacentral:lncRNA from 1 species